rnacentral:lncRNA from 1 species
AUUUCCCACUUAUUUUCAACUUUUACUUAUGAAAAAAUUGUUUACGUUAAAGCCUGCUUUGUUUACUAAUAUGUAAACUUUAAGCUAAGCCAAACGCGUUUUAAUAAAUAAUAAUAUACAUAGAUUUUAAACAAACAGCGCUACCGUAAUACUACUAUUCACUCGCGUAGAAGCCUCUCAUUCCGCCGCCCGAUUUUGUGUUUACUUCGAAAUUCCCUCAGAUCUGUGUUUUUCCUUUUACAUUCAUCAACUGUGCCCCGCGGUUAUCCACAAAUAUAAUCAUCAAAUGCUUGUUUUUUCAUUGUGAAUUUUUCGACAGUUGAUAAUCAGUCGGAAUGGUGAUUUAUGGACCAUUAAUACUUGGUCAGGUGACUCAGGUCAGUGAAUAUUUCUUAACUAUAGCUAUUUCGAGCUUAUUGUAUUGUACCAUUAGAUCCUAAUUGUUUUAGGUGGAUUUUGUAGAAUUUGCCUGUUCUUAUUGCUAUAGUAAAGAACUGUGUAGGAGAGUGUAUUAUGUGCUUAAAUUGCGAGUUCCUUUUAAAGUUCCGUACUUAAAUAAUUUGAUGAGUUAAUUUUCUUUAUUUUAUGAAAGCAUAGCUUGAUGAAUUAAUUGUUUUUCCUUUUCCUUUGUGUGAAUUGCAGGUGUCAUUUUUCUUGGGAUAGUACCAAUAUGCAUUGACUGGAUAUGCUCAGAGUAUCUGGAGCAUAGGAAAAAUCCCUCAUGGAAACUGUGUCGAUCUUUGAUCAAAUUUGAACGUAAAACGUUGAAGUAAUUUAGACAAUGUGUGGAACAUUAUGUGUGAAGAUGUUUGAAGUGAUUUAUUAUGGUUUCUUAUAGAUACAUUUGCUGAAUGGUAUGAAUAUUUGGUACCACAGCUGCUCGAAUGGCUUAUCAAAUUAUUCACUGAUUUAUUAUUAUUAUUAAUAUUUUUGAGUUUAUGAGACAUAUAGUAGAUUUUGUUGAAUUAAUGAGUGUGUUCUCUGGUGUGAGUUCUGACUGAAGCCAAAAGGCUCAGAAAAAUGGUGAGGAACAUAAUGUUAAUGUAUAGUUCUAUGUGUUUUCAUCCGAUCCUUUGGAAUUUUGUUACAUCAGUAAUGUACUUCAAAUUCAGGAUUCCUUUUGUGUGUGUGUGUUAUUUAGGUACAUAAAGUAUGAUAUAUAUUGUGUUAUAAUGAUAAUAGUUUUCUGAAGGAUUGUAAAAUUCCCUGUCCAAAUCUUGUACAUUUCAGUGGCAGGAAUUCUGAUAUAAAUUUGGUCGAGUUGGGAAAGGAAACACUCAAAGAAGAUAACAGAGCUGUUCUAUCGGAAGGAGGUGCUCUCUAGUCUUCAUCUCCUAAAGUUAGGAAUUCAUCUGUAACAUCUCGCAUUAUCAGGUAAGUAACAAACAAGGUUAAAAUAAGUUGGAGUUGUACCUUACUUUUACGUUCUUGUAUAUGCUUAUCUUCUCUGGUUCCUUAAAUUGGACGAGUCUUUCCUACUUGAGAUAUUUGGCAUUAUAUUUGACAAACUGAUGCCUUCAAAUGUAAAACUGUAAAAGAUGCAGUUGUUUUUAUAAAAAUAUUAAUAGGAAGUUGUGAUAUGUAAAACUUGUGAGAUCAACACUUAAACAGGUGUGAUAUAUGAACGUUAUUAUAUUUUUGUUGUUAGACAACAAGGACAAUGUGAAAAAAAAAAAAAAAAAAAAAAAAUUCUUUGGGUAGUGCACAUUGGUAUGAUAUUUUAUCAAUUACGCUUGUUAGGUUUGAUUAAUAAAGUAGGACUAAUCAUUUAGCUGUCAUGUGAAACAGAAAGAAGCAAUAUUUAAUGUAACAACUGUAGCUUUGUUUCUAUUCCUUUCUUUUUGGUUUGCAUUAACCCUGUCUUUGAUAAUUAGAUAUUUACCCCCUUGAAUAUAACGAACUGGGUCUUAAUAUUGGUUCAUGUAGAGAAACGGAAAACUUGAGCUGUAAUUUUAGGUGCUUAACUGAAAUUCAUCAAAUCAAUAAUAAGACCACAUAUUGUGCAUGGUGUUUAAACAUGUGUUGCUGCUGUUUCUAAUUUAUGAAGUGCUACCCAUGUGAAUGUGAUGAUUGAUGUGGUCCUUGUUUCUGUACUUCCUUCUUAUCAUAGGCCCUGUUUGGGCCCGAUUUUUUCCUCCAAAAAAUUGAUUUUUUGACCGUUAUUUCACUAUUCCAGCCGUCAUAUUUGACUUCUUCUCUCACGGGUGGACCCCACUUUUCUUCUAACGGUCAAAAAAUCAAUUCUCAAAAUCACUCCCAAACAACCUCUAGAGUUUUGGCAAUUACUUCUUUCAAGAUACAUAAUGACAAGUCGCCAUUCUUUGGGAAGACGAUCAUGUAUUUAAAUAGGCAUUAAACUGAGGAGUGGAAAGAAUGGAUGCAGGCAAUUAAGUUUCCUAAAGGAUUCAUUUACCUUUUGAUUUAUGAUGGCUACUUCUCACUUUCUGCAUGUGGAGUUUUGUAUUAGUUUUUUGUGAUUAUUGUUGAAAAUUAGUUUCUUUUUCGCCUUUUUUCCUUUGCAGUCAGGGUGUCUGUGCAUGUUAAUGUUUUAGAUUUCUGAAGGCAUAUCAACUAUCAUACUUAUGUGAUGGAAGAAGACUUUGAGGGAUCCAGUAGACUUGUCAUGUAAUCUAAGUGUAAGAUGAGCACUGACAGCCUUAUACCUUUCUCUCUACUCAGUCCUUAUACUCAAUCCUUAGUCUUUUUUCAGUUUUCAGAUGUUAAUUUUAGAAACUAGGUAUUAUCGGCUACAAUGCAGUAAAUCUGGUUGCUUAUCUUGUGCCAUUGUAUCCGUUCUAACGUUCCAUUUUGAUUGACCUCAAAAAUAAUAUCGAUGACUUUGCUUCUCUUAUACAAACUUUUUCAUUCUUUCCUAGAACUUAUAUCACUGACUAUUUGGCGCCUAAAGAGACACUGAAACUAGAGCCGCUCAUAAAAAAAUUUGAAGGAAUAAGUUGCAAAACUAAUCCAGAUUAUCCAAACCUUGAAAUGAAAAGGAAAGGGCCCUUCAUUUAUACUUAAGAAGGGUCCAUAAGCUUGUGGAACAUUGUAUCUAAGGCACUUUCAGUUUGAGUAAAUUGUCUACUGAAAUGAGUUAUGACUCAGUUUUAAGAAAGCAGUUUUACAUUGACAUUUGAAGUGUGCUGUAAAAAUAUCCUUUAAUGAUUAAGUACAUUGAUAUCUUGAUUGGUCUGCAGUGGAUAUUAUUCAUCUUGUCUAUAUAAUAAAUGGUUUUAUGCAAUCUUCUUCCCUACCUGCGGGUCUUAUUUCUUAUAUAUCAUUACUUUGCUGCAACCAAAAUCUAUAAUGCCAUUUGAGUUUUUAUUGUUUCAUGUGUGGCUGAUUGGCUUUGGAAACUUCAUCCGCAAGGAUUUCAGCGUUUGCUAGGUUUAUUUAGGUACUAUUUCUGCAUGAGUUCUAAGAUAGAAUCCUGAUUCGUCAAAUGAACCUUGCUCCCGACAGAUUUACAUUUGAAUGGACAAAUGAUUUGGAGGCUCAAUUUCUUGUUUUUUUUUUUUCUUUUUUUUUUGCUUGCUGCGUUGUGCUUAAUAACAGUUACAUGUUAUACUACAAAUGCCCCAUGCGCACACUUUUCACUCUCAUGGGUUAUGGGGCCCUUGGCAAUUUUAACAAAUACAACGAGCAGGGGAUUGUCAUAGCUGGCAAAAUCAUAGGCUAUUUCUUGGUAGUCAUUCUCAUUUGGGAAGUGCCUGGGUGUUUGAACUGUUUAGGAUUCGCUCCACUUUCUUGAGUUAUUAUCAUCGCGUGUUUGUAGAUUUGAUCUACAUCAGAUUUCGUUCAUAUUUGUGUUGUUACCUGUCGUAGUUAAUACACACAUUAGUUUGGAUGCGUACUUCAAAUACAUUGUGGUAGUUGUUGUUUCUUCUCACACUUUUAGUAUCCCUUGUCAAUUUCACACCUCCUGAGGCUAUUCAAAUUUGUUUACUAGGUAGAGAGAUGGAUGGAGAAACUAGAGGAAGCUGAACCAAAACGUAGGAUAUCAAUCAAAAAUGAUUGUUGUGAUAAUUUCAUUGAUGGUAUCACAUCGAUCUUUUAGAACAAUCUUUUAUAUCUCAAUUCUGCAUCAAAUACCAGUGAUUUCAUGAUUUCAGAUUGAAUAUCUGGGGAUGGAGUAUAAAUACAAGCUUCCAAAAUUUACUUACAAUAAAUAUCAUCCUUAUACAUCGUGGAUUCCCAUCACGUGCGCACAUCCUCUAGUUGCUUUGUUA